rnacentral:rRNA from 1 species
UACGGAGGGAGCUAGCGUUGUUCGGAAUUACUGGGCGUAAAGCGCGCGUAGGCGGCUUUGUAAGUUAGAGGUGAAAGCCCGGGGCUCAACCCCGGAACUGCCUUUAAGACUGCAUCGCUUGAAUCCGGGAGAGGUGAGUGGAAUUCCGAGUGUAGAGGUGAAAUUCGUAGAUAUUCGGAAGAACACCAGUGGCGAAGGCGGCUCACUGGGCCGGCAUUGACGCUGAGGUGCGAAAGCG